CGCGUUCAGCAGAGAGGACUCUCGCGAGCUGGCUCAUGAUAAGGCAGUUAAACUUUCCAAACAGCAGGACGUCAAAAAUCGAGAAAGCUACAAUCUGAGAUCGCGCGUGGUUUCGUAUUCCAUUGGCCAAGAAGUUUUCCGGCGUAAUUUUAGGCAAAGUUGCUUUCAAACAGGAUAUAACGCCAAAUUAGGUCCGGCAUUUGUGAAGGCACGUAUACGACAGAUAUUAGGAAACUCGUAUUACGAUGUCGAGGAUCUUCAAGGCAGGCUUGUGGGGCGUUAUCACGCCAAGGAUUUGCGCCAAUGAUUGUGGCGUGAUCAGCCUUGAUGGGUUAACCACCAUUCUGAUGUUAGCGGGGGGGUGUUGUAACGGACGAGUGUUGAAUACAUGAAGCGCCAUCUAUGACUCGGUUGCGAAACUACAAUAAACAUAGAAAAGCAUUUUUGUUUACCGAUAAUAUGCAGGUCUGCAUAUUACGAAUACCGAUAAUACGUAGGUCUGCAUUGACGUUAAUGGGGAUCGGAUAAACGCUUACGGUGUUCGGCUUAACCCUAGAGGAAACGCUGUUCGCCUCGUGCAUUCUUUUCAAUUCGAGCUUACAGACAGUGAAGUUGUGCGAUUUUAUAUUACCUUUGGCCAAACCACGCCAAAGAGGUUAGAGCCGGUCACGAGAUUUUUAAAGGCAAUUAAGUGCCAAGUGAAUUCAAGACCGCUUUCUGAGCUAAAUCACGGUCAGUGGAACAAAAGGAAAAUAUUCAGAAGAGGCGCUCUGCAGGGGGCGGCCUAGAACCUGUCUCCCGGCCCAUAACAGAAUUGACGCUGAGAAGUCCGGCUAGGCAGCUGCGGGCAGAAAUAAUUCAAGCGAUCGUCAGCCGCCUGCCCCAGCCAACUGCCCCAGCUACGUGCACCCAGCCAGUGCGGCCAAGAAGGGCAGCCGACAGUAGCUCGGCAGCCAAAUAGGAGUUUUCAAGCAAUGACUGUUGACCCUCAUCAAGCGCCACCGUAAUCAACAGGAAACUGUCGCUCUGGAUUUGUUUUUGUGCCAAUUGUUAAUUUUAUAGCAGUUUUUGCUAAAAUAUCGGUGCAUAUAGGCCAGUGAAAUACAUGAAUUAGGCCAUAGCCUGAACCAUGGUGUGAA